GAUGAACGCUGGCUACAGGCUUAACACAUGCAAGUCGAGGGGAAACGACGGGGAAGCUUGCUUCCCCGGGCGUCGACCGGCGCACGGGUGAGUAACGCGUAUCCAACCUGCCUCUGACUGAGGGAUAACCCGUCGAAAGUCGGCCUAAUACCUCAUGGCAUCGUCUGCGGGCAUCCAACGACGAUUAAAGAUUUCAUCGGUCAGAGAUGGGGAUGCGUCUGAUUAGCUUGUUGGCGGGGUAACGGCCCACCAAGGCUACGAUCAGUAGGGGUUCUGAGAGGAAGGUCCCCCACAUUGGAACUGAGACACGGUCCAAACUCCUACGGGAGGCAGCAGUGAGGAAUAUUGGUCAAUGGGCGGGAGCCUGAACCAGCCAAGUAGCGUGCAGGAUGACGGCCCUAUGGGUUGUAAACUGCUUUUAUGCGGGGAUAAAGUGAGGGACGUGUCCUUCAUUGCAGGUACCGCAUGAAUAAGGACCGGCUAAUUCCGUG
rnacentral:rRNA from 1 species